rnacentral:rRNA from 1 species
UACGUAGGUGGCGAGCGUUGUCCGGAUUUACUGGGCGUAAAGAGCGCGCAGGCGGUCGUUCAAGUCGCGUGUGAAAGCCCCCGGCUCAACUGGGGAGGGUCACGCGAUACUGAUCGACUCGAAGGCAGGAGAGGGAAGUGGAAUUCCCGGUGUAGUGGUGAAAUGCGUAGAUAUCGGGAGGAACACCAGUGGCGAAGGCGACUUCCUGGCCUGUUCUUGACUGCUGAGG